rnacentral:rRNA from 1 species
GAACCCGCUUGCGGGGGAUUAGUGGCGAACGGGUGAGUAACACGUGAGUAACCUGCCCUUAACUCUGGGAUAAGCCUUGGAAACGGGGUCUAAUACUGGAUAUUGACUUUACCUCGCAUGGGGUUUUGUUGAAAGAUUUAUUGGUUUUGGAUGGACUCGCGGCCUAUCAGCUUGUUGGUGAGGUAAUGGCUCACCAAGGCGACGACGGGUAGCCGGCCUGAGAGGGUGACCGGCCACACUGGGACUGAGACACGGCCCAGACUCCUACGGGAGGCAGCAGUGGGGAAUAUUGCACAAUGGGCGAAAGCCUGAUGCAGCGACGCCGCGUGAGGGAUGACGGCCUUCGGGUUGUAAACCUCUUUCAGUAGGGAACAAGGCCAGCAUUUUUGUUGGUUGAGGGUACUUGCAGAAGAAGCGCCGGCUAACUACGUGCCAGCAGCCGCGGUAAUACGUAGGGCGCAAGCGUUAUCCGGAAUUAUUGGGCGUAAAGAGCUCGUAGGCGGUUUGUCGCGUCUGCCGUGAAAGUCCGGGGCUCAACUCCGGAUCUGCGGUGGGUACGGGCAGACUAGAGUGAUGUAGGGGAGACUGGAAUUCCUGGUGUAGCGGUGAAAUGCGCAGAUAUCAGGAGGAACACCGAUGGCGAAGGCAGGUCUCUGGGCAUUAACUGACGCUGAGGAGCGAAAGCAUGGGGAGCGAACAGGAUUAGAUACCCUGGUAGUCCAUGCCGUAAACG